GCAUCAGGCUUUCAGGAGCUAAUAAAAAGGGAAAGACAAUUCAGAUUCCUGAGAGUGGAUUAAAUAUUAUUUCAGUUGUAUGUUUCUUAUGGAAAACUUUAUUUCUCAUUCUGAUGUUUCAGUUGUAUGUUUCCUAGAACUCAGCCUCUAUCCUUUGAUAGCAGGUAAUGAUUAUAGGGCUGGAAAUAGCUUUAUCAUUUGGCUCUCAGAGCAGUUCUUAUCAAAAGUCAAUACUGAUUACUGACGUGAGAAGGGAGCAGGUGUAUGAGACUGAUGGAGGAUCAGCUCCACCAGUUUUGGUCAGUGGCGUACAAUGCUCACUCUGAGUGUGAAAACCCCUCCAAGUCAUGGCUGUAUCUUCCUCAUAGGCAUGAGGGUGAACGAAAUCAACAACCCACAAGAUGAGCAGGUAGAGAAAAUGGCUAAUGCACAGACACAGAGAUCCUUUUUCAUCCCUUUGAAUCAUCCCUUUUUCAUAUAUGUUCAUAUCUGAACAUGUUUGGUGCCAGGGGUUACAUGGCAGUCAGUUUCGAUCCCUUGAUAGCAUCAGUAACAUUUUUAUGCCCAGGAAUUAGCUGCCUUGAGAUGCGAAAGCACAAAUUACUUCCCAGUUUUGCUAUCAGCGUUUAAAAAAAUAAAGAAAUAAAAUAACUCUUGGGUUUUAUUGUGCUAGAAAGGACGAGAUAGUAAAGGUAGAUAAAGCAGGUGAAGGAAUGGCAAUAAAGUGCAUAAUAGAGUAGAGCUUAGUCUGCAUUUUGAGGCACACUCUCAAUCAAUAAAAAACCAUCAUAAAGGAAGCAAAAGCUUGCCUGAAAGUUCCUCAUUCUUCAAUAUGUGGUAUAGCAAAAUGCAAGCUAAAUAAAUAGAGUUAAUAUAAAUGUUUAAAGAUGGAGGGUAGUCCUUUAAAAAAUGGAUGCCUGCAUUGUCUUACAAUGGCAUCAGAGCAGCAGGCAUUGUCGUUUUUAGGGCAGCUGCUGCCAUCAAGGCCAACAGAGAGGCUUCCCCAGCUGCUGCAUUUGCUAAGCCAUCACAUAAGCAGCUGCCCAGCCCUGCAAGUGAGAAAGGUAUUUCCUUAUCCCAUGUUUUUUCUCCCUUGCCUGUGUUCUUAAAGUUUCUUAAGGCUUAAGGUUGGGCUGCUCAGGGCUUGUCUCAAGGAAUCCAGGCUCACUAUUAAUUAUGCACCUCCUCCCCAUCAUACUUGGGCUUUUCAAAGCAAAGAAGUAGCUGAAUGUUAUCAACAACAUUGGAAUCAUUCAUCUAGGGUUCCAAGCUGACUGUAACUGAUGCUCCCAGUUCCUCAGGCUUUUCACAGCUUUAACACGAGCAGGAUUGUUUCUAAAGGCAGCUGCAGCUUCAGACUUUGCUGUAUCUCAUCCUGCAGGUCAGAACCUGAAGCCCUUACUGUGUGAUAAAAGGAAUACAAAACUAUUACUCUUAAUGCACCAGGAAGUGGCAGAUCGAGCAAUUUGCCUUAAGUUCUACAAAGAAUGAAUAUUGAGGAGAGGAUUUAAGAUGAGGUUUUCUAGUGGAAAUGUUGAGUCGUGGCCUUGAAGCAGUGAUGGAGCACCUGGUGGAAGGCAGGGCCAACCCAGGGGAGCUCAGGUGCAUGCAAUCACCCUGAGUGAUUGGAAGGGCUGGAGCCAGGAUCCACCCCUCCCAGACCUCAUUUAAUGGCUGGUAGUAGAGGUGAGGGUAUCUCGGUGGUGUUCCUUGUGGGCCUGAGAUCUUCUAAAGCGCUGCUGAUGCUGCUUUCACUAUAGCAGCAUAGAGAACCAACAAAGUAGGAGAAAAUACCUUUGUUCAGCAUCCGGAAUAGCUCAAUAUGAGUGAGAUGAGUUACGUGCUGCUCCCAGUGUAGGCUGUUGUUGGCACUCAGCGUGGCUGGCAGUGAAGGCUGACUGACUGCCCAGUGUGGGGGGCGAAAGCCAAAUGCAAGCUGGAGGAACAGCCCGGGAAGGCAGAGGGACAGGUGAUUGAUCUGUGCUGCACAACGUGCCUCAGAUCGCUGCCAUUCCAUCCUUAUUGGCACAGCCUGCCCAGCGAAUGGUGAGGUCACCGUCCCUAGAGAUGUUCCAGACCAGCAGAGAUUUGGCAUUGAAGGCCUUGAGCAGCAGGAGAACUGAUGAAUAGAGAACAGCUCCUUCAGCUGUUGGUGUGCAGGAUGAGUUGGCAGCCUGGAAUACUUAGCAGAAAGGACAGGAGAUGCUCAGGUCUACUGUAGCAGGUCUUCUAGUUCCCUCCAACCUGGCUGGAGCUGCUCGAACUGACAGUGAAGUUGGUUGGCAUUGGCUUGUAGGCUGCUUGGAGAGGACGGUGAUUUGUAGACAGGUAACGAGGAGUUGAGGAAUGAAAACGUGCAUGAGAAAAUUGCGUGCCUGUGCUUCAUGUCUCUGUUGUGGAGGAAACUGGGGUUUGGUAACAGUUUCUGGGCUAUUACUAAAGGUCAUCACCAUCCUGUACAUGAAAUAGCAUUGGCUGCUGGCCCUAUGCCUUUAACUGCAGACUCUUGGCUUCUGGCAUCGCUGUUGUCUCUUACUCUAUAAACCCAAAGAGAUACUGAUUGCUGCAUUGUUUGACACCCAUUCACCCCUAAUGGUUGGCAAUCACAGAACUGAUGACUGUGGGGAGCCUGACAAACCUGAUAACCUAUAUUUUAAACCCAUAUUCCUUCUGAUUACUUUUUUUUCCUAUUUUGGCUUUCUUUUUUUCUUUCCCCGGGGCUCUGCUCACCCAUAGGAGUCAUUUGUCCUUUGUGCAGCUUGGUGCUUCUCAGUAAUACCUUCUCAUGUUCUUGUACAGUCCUCAUCUCUCGUGUUCUGGUGGG